GGGGCUGACUUGGAUUUCGACAGAUUUCUUGUCGCACAGAUAGCAUGCCAAGUGCUGCUUGUAAAACAGCAACAAAAAUAACUGUAAACAACACAGAUUACGCUCCAGCUUACGCUAAAGCUGCGUGAGUUAAUCUCCUUUUGGAGCUGGACUGAUUAGAAUUUCUAGCGUUUUAAUCACUCCAUAACCUUAAGCUAGACGCUUUUAAAAGGUGGUUCGCCUUUUAAACUAAGAAACAAGAACUCUUGAAACUACCUCAAGGUUUUAGAAAGUUGGACCAGAGCUAGUUUUAAGGCUAAAAACUAACCAAUUUUCUAAGCAUUGUAGAAGUUUGUGUUUAGGGCAAGAUUUUUGGACUGGGGUUCGAUUCCCCACAGCUCCACCA
rnacentral:tmRNA from 1 species